rnacentral:rRNA from 1 species
GACGAACCGUGCAAGCGUUAUUCGGAAUCACUGGGCGUAAAGGGUCUGUAGGCGGUGAUGCAAGUCACUGGUGCAAUACUCCGGCUCAACCGGAGGAAUGCCAGUGAUACUGCGUGACUCGAGUGUGGGAGGGGUAGGAGGAAUUCACUGUGUAGCGGUGAAAUGCGUAGAUACAGGGAGGAACGCCGGAGGCGAAAGUGGUGUGCUGGACCACAUCUGACUCUGAGAGGCGAAAGCUAGGGGAGCAAAUGGG